UUGUUGGAACUCAUUUCUCUCUCUCUCUCUCUCUCUCUCUCUCACACACACACACACACACACACACACACGGAGAGAGAGAGAGAGAGAGAGAGAGAGAGAGAGAAAUUAAGGGGAAUU
rnacentral:miRNA from 1 species